GCCAAUGCAUGUGUGCCAAUGCAUCUAGCGCCUCCUCUCACAAAAUUGGUCAUUUUAGUAUUUAUUUUGAAAAAUUGAUUAUUUUCGUAUUUUAUUUGAAAAAUUUGGUUAUUUUGAAAAAAAAUUCUCAAAACUAAUCUUCAUUCGAUUUCAUAUGAUCCUGAUCCAUCCGAUUUUAACUUUAUCCUUCACUUUCACUCUCGAUAGUUUAAUUUCGUUUUACUUUCAACUGUUUCACUCAACCGUUUCAGUCUUGAUUCAUUCGCCCCAUUCGUUCUUCAAGCUUCGGUAACAAUUAGUUCAUUAUUAAUGGCUCUCAAUAGUUCUAAAUCAAUCAUAUUUCUGGGUUGCACUUGACAUUCAAAAUCUCUCAAACCUCAGUUGUCACAAGUAAAAACCGUUCAAAGUAUUCAAAUUUAAAAGUAAUUUAACUUUGUGUUGAAUUCAAGGUUGCUUUGGAAGGAUGUUGAUGAUAAACCAGGGUGCUUUGGUAGUUGCAGGUUGAAGCUCGCACAGAUAGCAUAUUCCCUACUCGGUGAGUCUUCUAUUCUUUAUUUUCCUAAUAGUAAUAGCUGCAUGCCCUGAUUAGGCAUCAUGUGCUGUUCUAGGACGACUAUUGUGUUCCAGCUUAGAUAGCUCUAUGUAUGCACCAGUUUUGUAGAUUUAGUGAUUAAUUUAUGCAGAGAAACGUUCCUUCUUAAGUGCUGCUGUCAUCUCUGUCCCUGUCGUUAGUAUAUCAUUACCUGACGGGGCAGAGGGGUUUUUGCGUUUCCCUUUAGGGCUAAGAAGUGGUGAGGAAUUCGCAAAACACGUCUCAUUAGGAAGCAUAGGAGUUAGAAAAGGUCAAGGUCACAUUUUACAUGCUUAUGACCAUCAUAUCCUUCCAUAUAGUCAAAAAGGAACAGAAAGUUCCUGAUAAAUUAAUUGUUUAUCUAUUAUUGUAUCUCUAGUAAUUGUCAUACUUGUUGAAUCCGUCUUAAUUGCAUUGUUUGAACUGAAAUGGCUAUGCUGUCAAGUGACUGAACAGGUGUUAAUAGUAGAUCACUAACUGAACAGGUAUUUUUCAUUCGCUUGGUUAUUCAAUUUUAUUAAUGUUGUUUAUCUGUUAUACUAUGUCAUUGUUACCUCAAUUCAGCUUGAGGAAACUUUCAGUGAAGUUGGACCUGUUAAGAUAUGCUUCAUGGUCACACAAAAGGGUAAGUAACUAAAGAUUAAUUCAAUAAUUAAGCAAGAUAAAUAAAUAAUAAAGUUUUUUUCUCUCUAUCACCUAUGGUUAAUCAUUCUCAGGGUUCACCCAACAACGUGGUUUCUGCUAUGACCAAUUGUAAGUUCAACUCAAUUUAUAUGUGCUUGUCUUAUAUUACUAAUUUAUUGCACUCUUUCACUUACAAGCAUUAGUAUGUGUUGUGUUUUUAUCAUCUCUUUUAAAUAUCAUUUCUUGCUUAUGCUUUGCUUUGCCUAUGACUAUGCAUAAAUUGAAAUGAUGCUAAAUAUGUACAUGCAUGAAUUUGUGUUGUUAAACAAUGCUAAAUAUGUACAUAGCAGAAUUUGAACUAACUGUCAUUGUUCUGUUAUACACUAAUUAUUUAGUACCAAAUGUUUUUCAAUAGAAGCUAUUAAACAUCUUUAUGGUUUGGUUUGGAAGGAAAACCAAACCGAAUUGAAUUGGAAAGAUAGUUUGCAUGAACUGUGCCAAAAUAUUUAUGUUAUGUACCUAACAAAACCUAAUUGUUUGUUUGUUCCAGUCCACCGAGUUCUUAUCUUAAUGAACUAAUCUGUUUUUGAGAUUAAGAGCCCAACAAUUUUCUUAUGCAAAACGGAACUCAACUCUUCAAGCAUAAGUGUAUUGAUUGGGAAAAAAAUGAAACUAGAAAAGCAACAAUUUAGUUCUUUACCAGUUAGUUCUUUCCUUUUUCAUUGUAGAAUAGUUAGCAAUAAACAAAAGUACUAUCAACACUUCCAGCAAUAAACAAAAUUGGAAUUAUUUGGUCUUAGUUUACUGAAAUCUAUCACAGUAAGAAUUUAUUGCGCAAUACAACAAAAUAGUUUCUUUAUUUGUUUUAUAUCCAACCGCUAUUGGAGAUUCUCUAUAAGGAAGUCAACUGAUUGCUUAUGUUUUCUAUCUUGCACAGGUUAUGGAUUCUCAUGGGUUGUGCUGGAAGUGUUAAUAGUUCUUUUUAAGGUUCAAUAUUGAAUUAUUUGGUCUUAGAUUGCUUUUGUUUAUUGCUAAUUUUGACUUGAGGCUGUCUUGUAUUCUUGUUCAAUAGGUAUUUCACCUUUAGCUAGAAGAUAUCAGUCAACUUCCAGCUUGUGCUUCUUUUAGAUUUUUUUAAAAUUCAUUUAUGGUCUUAAUUAUUAUUGUACUUGUAGAAUCUUUAGACUAUAAUUGUUUUGCUCUUGUAACUCCGGUUCCCCCUAUGUAGUACAUUGAUUUUCAUGGUAACGGUUGUGACAUGAAUCAUGAUCCUUUUUAUUGCAGAAAAUCACGAUCAAAUUUUAUCUGUUUUUUUAAUGGUUAUCGUUCUUACUCGAUUCUCGAUGUUGUUAGAAAGGAAGCUGAGAAUUGUGACUUUUUUUUUAAAUUGGAAUCACGAGGUAGUUUAACUGAACUGUAUUGAUCAAUGAUCUGAACCAGAUUGAAUCAGAUAUAUAGAAUUUUUCUGUAAUUUCGGUAUCUGGAAUGGAAAUGCUGUUGAUAUCGAAAAUAAGAGAGGAGUAUCCUGAUAGGAUGAUGCUUACAUUCUCGUUCGCCUAAGGUUUCUGAUACUGUUGUUGAACCUUACAAUGCUACUAUCUCAGUUCAUCAUUUGGUGGAGAAUGCUGACGAGUGUAUGGUUCUUGAUAGUGAAGCUCUUUAUGAUAUCUGCUUCAGGACCCUCAAGUUUACCACUCCUAACUGAUUCUGGUUUCCCAUGCUUCAAAGGUGGUUGGUUCACUACAGUAUCGUUGUAAUAAUGAAUUAAUAGGUGACUGGAUACAUCCUCUUUUCUUGUGAUGGCAAUGGGAGUAAUUUUCGUGUAAAUGAAGCUCUUCUAUUUGGAGAAGUUGCAUUGGCCUCCUUAAUGCCACUUUGAGGUAAAUCAAAUUGUACAGUGAUUUUUGCAGAGUAGGAUAAGAUUUUAUUGGUUUUUGAUAUGAGUACCUAUGUAAGCUCUUUAAUUCAUGAAAUCUUUUAGAGGGUGUUUGAAUUGUGGAACAGAUAUUGAUCUGAUAUGUUUUGGAUAUCUAUUAUCAAGGGCAGACAAAAUACAAUGUCGGUCAA